ACGCUCGACACCUACGGAGCAGCAGUGGGGAAUAUUGCACAAUGGGGGAAACCCUGAUGCAGCGACGCCGCGUGGAGGAAGAAGGUCUUCGGAUUGUAAACUCCUGUUGUUGGGGAAAAAGAGGAUGGUACCCAACAAGGAAGUGACGGCUAACUACGUGCCAGCACGCCGGUACGGUAAUCUGAGGCGGGCGUGGACGAAGGC
rnacentral:rRNA from 1 species